rnacentral:rRNA from 1 species
GACGAACGCUGGCGGCGUGCUUAACACAUGCAAGUCGAACGGUAAGGCCCUUCGGGGUACACGAGUGGCGGACGGGUGAGUAACACGUGGGUGAUCUGCCCUGCACUUCGGGAUAAGCCUGGGAAACUGGGUCUAAUACCGGAUAGGACCACUGCCUGCAUGGGGGGUGGUGGAAAGCUUUUGCGGUGUGGGAUGGGCCCGCGGCCUCUCAGCUUGUUGGUGGGGUGAUGGCCUACCAAGGCGACGACGGGUAGCCGGCCGGAGAGGGUGACCGGCCACACUGGGACUGAGCGACGGCCCAGACUCCUACGGGAGGCAGCAGUGGGGAAUAUUGCACAAUGGGCGCAAGCCUGAUGCAGCGACGCCGCGUGAGGGAUGACGGCCUUCGGGUUGUAAACCUCUUUCAGCACCGACGAAGCGCAAGUGACGGUAGGUGCAGAAGAAGGACCGGCCAACUACGUGCCAGCCGCCGCGGUAA